rnacentral:rRNA from 1 species
UGUGUGCCCAAGCAUUGAGUCAGUCAAAGUAGGCAAAUCCGCUUUGAUAAUGCUGGGAUGUGAUGGGGAGCGAAAUUUAGUAGCGAAGUAGCUGAUUUCACACUGUCAAGAAAAGUCUCUAUCGAGGUUAAAGGUACCCGUACCGCAAACCGACACAGGUGGGUGAGGAGAGUAUCCUAAGGCCAGCGAGAGAACGGUUGUUAAGGAACUCGGCAAAAUGACCCCGUAACUUAGGGAUAAGGGGUGCCACCAUCAGGUGGCCGCAGAGAAUAGGCCCAAGCGACUGUUUACCAAAAACAUAGGUUUCUGCUAAGUCGCAAGACGAUGUAUAGGAGCUGACGCCUGCCCGGUGCUGGAAGGUUAAGGGGAUCUGUUAGAG